GGAUAGAGGUUUGAGAUGUACACGCGUAUAUGUGGAGACUGUCAGUAAGACAGAACAGAGAAGUAAGUUGUGAAAUGCGUGCAGAAAAGUAUAAAAAGAAUGUCUUGGGAUGUGUUCAGGGCCACUGCCAUGGCUACUCCUUGCUGGACUCAGCCAUGUCGGUGGACCUCAUUGCAAUGAGUUGCUGUUUGAACUCAUGUGGAUAUGCAGAAUCAUCUCUACUACAAUCACAAAAUAACAUUUAAAAACAAAUUCAUAGAAUGUAAAGAUUAAAAGGGACUAUAAAUAUCAACUUCUCCAAAAUAAACAAGUGGAAUACCUAGAUAAUAUAAAGGACACAUUCUCAUCAAAUUUGUCACAGUUCCAAAAAAACACUGGCACCAUUCUGCAGACUUGACUACUUCAGAGCCUUGUGUACUUGUGUACAGUUGCUAUAUGCUGGAAAUCAAUAAACAGGCAAUCCUCAACACAUACAGUAACUGUCCAAAGUCUACUUGAAGUCAUUCAGUGAGAGUUUUCACACCUCCUCUAAUAAAUUUGUUGCAUUAUCAUACUACAGUAUGUAUCUUUGGGAUAUGGUGGUCUUCUUCCAAGUAUUAACCAGGACAGGUCCUGAUUAGGUUAUGAGCUCAGACAAGUGCUAGAUAUUGAUAAGUGGUCCAAUGGGAUAGUUUUCAUCCUAAGCAUCCAGUGAGUUUACAAACCCAUAGAAGUGAUGCUAUACAACUUUACUGAAAGCAAUAGUAAAAUGGAUUGCUGCAUAAGAAAACAAGCUUUCUCACACAGAGAAAUAUCUCUGUAGUGAACCAGUGAACCUGGAUUGCAGCCAGGUUUACUGAGAGGUCACCCAACUUUCUGCCACCCAUAAAUUAUUUUUGCAGUAAAAAGCUUAUUGGAACACAUAAAGCAUUUAUUUCAAUGUAGUUGCCAGCUUUUAAAACACUUCCAAUUCCUGCACCUUUACAUGAAAUGAAACUACAGGAGCUUCUCAGGUAAAGCAUUUCCUAGGAAAGCUACAAUCCUGAAAAGCAGUCCAGACUUUCCCUAACCAACCUCUUCAUGGAUAUGUAAUUAAAAGUUCCAUAUUUGCCAAUUAACUGGAAAUUCUGGGAAUUAUAAUCCUUAUGUAUCUGGAAGGCACUGGGUUCCUCCAUGCAGUAAUACAGGAUUAAGAUUUUGUAGCACAGAACUAAUAAGAGGGAGUGGUCUUUAAAUAACAAAUUUGUUAAAUAUAGUUAUAGCUUCAUAGCCAAAUCCUUCAUCAAGACAUCUUUUCCUGGAUUUGUAGAAGCCUCCAAUAUUUUUAUGAACAAUUGAAUCUAAAGUUCUAGUUGAGAACAGAUCCUCCUCCAAAUAAAUCAAUUUUAAUCAAAAUUUAGUAAUACUUUAAUAUAAUUAGCAUAUUCAAUAAGUGAUAAUAAAUUAUGUUCACAUUUCUUGGAAAGCAUUUUCUUUUCUACCAAAGAGGUUUUGCGAAAAGGUGCUGGUGGAUGAAUCUAAAAGUAUUGCAUAUUUUAAAAUUAGGAUAAAAUUAUACAUUAAAAGGAUAGUUCAAUUCCCCCCUGUAAAUAAUAAAAAGUUGAUUGUCCUUAGAAUACUUUCUUGUAUUGAAAAGUACCUUUGAAAAAAUGUAUUUUAAGUAAAACUGUUCCAAUAAAAGAGAAUAUAUGUAGUUCAGGAUCAUAUUGCAGAGUUCUUUAUGCUGAGUUUGGUUGGUUGGUUGCAAAUAUUUCAUUACCCAACUAGGUUCACACCAAUAUUACUAGUCAGAUAAUGAAACAUCUGUGAGCAAACAACCAAGCUCAGAGAGCACCAAGAACUCCACAAAUAAAAUUGUAUGCUGGCAACAAUAUAUUUAUAGUCUAAAAUGUUCUCACAUAUAUGAAAUCAAAUGGGGACUCAUUUUCAAUUUUGUUUACACAUGAUUCGCUGUUUAACUUUCCAGGGUUUUUGGAGUCCAGACUUUAGCAGUUCUAACAAUGUUUUGUUCCUUUAGUUGUUUUUCAUCAGUCCAAGAGAGUGAAUGCCCAGUGAUUGGAGGAAGUCCAUAAUCUGGGUCACUUGGAGGAGGUGUUCCUGGAAGGAAGAGAAACGAAAAAAAGGGGGGGGGAGACAAAUAGACUGAGUAUUCUCACCAU
ensembl:lncRNA